rnacentral:rRNA from 1 species
UUAUAGUUUAUAUUGAUAAUCGAAUUUACAUGGAUAACCGUGGUAAUUCUAGAGCUAAUACAUGCUGGUUAGCCUGACUUUUAGGAAGGGCUGUAUUUAUUAGAUAACAAACCAAUAUUCCUUGUGUCUAUUGUGACGACUCAUAAUAACUGAUCGGACCGCAUGGGCUUUGCCCGCGGCAAAUCAUUCAAGUUUCUGCCCCAUCAGCUUUCGAUGGUAGUGUAUUGGACUACCAUGGCUUUAACGGGUAACGGAGGAUUAGGGUUCGAUUCCGGAGAGGGAGCCUGAGAAACGGCUACCACAUCUAAGGAAGGCAGCAGGCGCGUAAAUUACCCAAUCGCGAUUCGCGGAGGUAGUGACAAGAAAUAACGGACCGAAGCCUAUGUUUCGGGAUUGCAAUGAGUAGAAUUUAAACCCCUUUACGAGGAUCAAUUGGAGGGCAAGUCUGGUGCCAG